rnacentral:rRNA from 1 species
AUUGAACGCUGGCGGCAGGCUUAACACAUGCAAGUCGAACGGAAUCGAGAGGAGCUUGCUUUUCUUGAUUUAGUGGCGAACGGGUGAGCAACGCGUGAGUAACCUGCCCUGGAGUGGGGGACAACAGUUGGAAACGACUACUAAUACCGCAUAAGCCCACGGUGCCGCAUGGCACUGCGGGAAAAGGAUUUAUUCGCUUCAGGAUGGACUCGCGUCCAAUUAGCUGGUUGGUGAGGUAACGGCCCACCAAGGCGACGAUUGGUAGCCGGACUGAGAGGUUGAACGGCCACAUUGGGACUGAGACACGGCCCAGACUCCUACGGGAGGCAGCAGUGGGGGAUAUUGCACAAUGGGGGAAACCCUGAUGCAGCGACGCCGCGUGGAGGAAGAAGGUUUUCGGAUUGUAAACUCCUGUCGUUAGGGACGAUAAUGACGGUACCUAACAAGAAAGCACCGGCUAACUACGUGCCAGCCGCCGCAGUAAGAC